rnacentral:piRNA from 1 species
UGGAAUUGUAAAUGGGACCACUGAGGAGA